rnacentral:misc_RNA from 1 species
AAGAGUUUAGGGUCUCUGGCCCGAACCUCCAACCCUCUGUUGUUAUAACUACUUUGUUGCUUUGGCGGGACCGUUCGGUCCUCCGAGCGCGCCGGUCCCCUCACGGGGGCAGGCGAGCGCCCGCCGGAGUCCAACCAAACUCUUGUUUUAACCGGUCGUCUGAGUUAAUUUUUUAAUAAAAAUUA